CGUGAGUAACCUGCCUUGGAGUGGGGAAUAACACAGUGAAAACUGUGCUAAUACCGCAUAAUGCAUUUGGGUCGCAUGAUUCUGAAUGCCAAAGAUUUAUCGCUCUGAGAUGGACUCGCGUCUGAUUAGCUGGUUGGCGGGGUAACGGCCCACCAAGGCGACGAUCAGUAGCCGGACUGAGAGGUUGACCGGCCACAUUGGGACUGAGACACGGCCCAG
rnacentral:rRNA from 1 species